GAUGAACGCUGGCGGCGUGCCUAAUACAUGCAAGUCGAGCGAACGGACGAGAAGCUUGCUUCUCUGAUGUUAGCGGCGGACGGGUGAGUAACACGUGGAUAACCUACCUAUAAGACUGGGAUAACUUCGGGAAACCGGAGCUAAUACCGGAUAAUAUUUUGAACCGCAUGGUUCAAAAGUGAAAGACGGUCUUGCUGUCACUUAUAGAUGGAUCCGCGCUGCAUUAGCUAGUUGGUAAGGUAACGGCUUACCAAGGCAACGAUGCAUAGCCGACCUGAAAGGGUGAUCGGCCACACUGGAACAGAGACACGGUCCAGACUCCAACGGGAGGCAGCAGUAGGGAAUCUUCCGCAAUGGGCGAAAGCCUGACGGAGCAACGCCGCGUAAGUGAUGAGGGUCUUCGGAUCGUAAAACUCUGUUAUUAGGGAAGAACAUAUGUGUAAGUAACUGUGCACAUCUUAACGGUACCUAAUCAGAAGCCACGGCUAACUACGUG
rnacentral:rRNA from 1 species